rnacentral:rRNA from 1 species
UACGUAGGGUGCAAGCGUUGUCCGGAUUUACUGGGCGUAAAGAGCGCGCAGGCGGUCGUAUAAGUCGAAUGUGAAAUCCCCCGGCUCAACUGGGGAACUGCACAGGAAACUAGCGGGCUUGAGUUCGGGAGAGGGAAGGCGGAAUUCCGGGUGUAGCGGUGAAAUGCGUAGAGAUGUGGAGGAACACCGAUGGCGCAAGGCA